rnacentral:lncRNA from 1 species
AAGGCCGUCUCGAGGCGUCGACUGUGAUGUUUGGUGCCUUGGAUGAGCUCUUUGAGAAAACCAGGAUCCGACCCAAGGAUGUUGGGGUCCUCGUUGUGAACUGUAGCAUAUUUAACCCGACUCCGUCCCUCUCGGCGAUGAUCAUCAAUCAUUAUAAGAUGCGGGGUAAUAUUUUGAGCUACAACCUCGGCGGGAUGGGGUGCAGUGCGGGGAUUAUUGCGGUGGAUUUAGCUCGAGAUAUGUUGCAAGCUAACCCGAAUAACUAUGCGGUGGUGGUGAGCUCUGAGAUGGUGGGUUAUAAUUGGUACCCUGGACGGGACAGGUCCAUGCUUGUCCCGAAUUGUUUUUUCAGGAUGGGAUGCUCCGCUGUGCUUUUGUCUAACCGCCGUCGUGACUACCGCCGUGCUAAGUAUCGGCUUGAACACCUUGUACGGACGCAUAAAGGUGCCGAUGACCGGAGUUUCAGGUUUGUUUCCCUGUUUACCUGUUCAUGCGGGAUUAAUUACAGCUAACGUUAACAAUAUAUAUAACUUGGUAGAUGGUUAAAUAAAUGCUAACAAGAUAUAAAUUUUUGUAAUAAAUAUAAAUUUAAAUUAAUUUAAGCAAAAUUAUAAUAUAAUAAAAUACAUUAAUAACUACAUAGAUGAGUUCCUUGAAUAUUUGUGAAAUUCAUACUUAUAUACUAAUUUUAUUAAAAAUAGUAUUUAUUUUUGGGUAAACUUGUGGAUCAGGUCAAUCUACCAGGAAGAAGAUGAACAAGGUUUCAAAGGUCUUAAAGUCAGCAAAGACCUAAUGGAAAUCGGCGGCGACGCCCUCAAAACCAACAUCACAACAUUGGGUCCACUCGUCCUCCCCUUCUCCGAACAACUCUUCUUCUUCGCCACCCUAAUUUGGCGCCACUUCUUUGGCGGCGAUAAAUCCAAAACCUCCCUAUCAC